rnacentral:lncRNA from 1 species
GCCUGCGGGCCCCGCAGCCCGCGGAGACCGCCCGAGAGCGGCGGCCGUGCCCGCGCGCCCGGGCACCCCUGUUCUGAGGGGAGAUCGGGGCUGCAACCGCGCCCGGAAUACCAACGAGGCCGCCCGCGGCCCCCGCCGUGCCCGCUGCGGAUCUGCCUAAUGGGAAUGGAGCCGGCAACUUCCUGCUGCCUUGCUUUCUCCGCCAGCCCCUAGCCCACAGUCCAGCCUCAGAAGGCUGAGGGGGGUGCUUCGGUUUAGUUUCUUUUUUCUCAACCGAUCGACAUUUAAUAGUUUAAAUUUUUCAGUAUCCAAGACGUUAGGAGGACUUAGUAAACAGAUGCAUUUAAUCUAAUUAAAGCAAGGACAACGAGUGUGAGUGAAAAAUCACGUUUUCACUCGGGUUCUGAACACUUAGUUGCACAUCCAAGAAUAAUUAUGUUUUUAAAGCCAGCCCAAUAAACUUGAGAUUGCAAGUUUUCCGUGGCUCCUGGAUAAGAUGCCACUUCGAUCAUCCUAGACAAUGUGCCUUUUGAGGAGUUGCUCAGCAGCUUUGGGGACUCUGGAUAAAGGCAAACCAGGCUUAUGAUUUUUUUUUCUUUUGCCUUUGUUUCAAAGUAGUUUGCAGGUUUGAGAGUCCAUUUUGAUAGGCCUGUUUCAUAAUAACAUACGCUCUUACUGCAUGAUGGGUUUAUUUUCACUCUCGGUUAUUUAUACGCAACCUCUAAGCAUCAAUCCGCCUUGGACAAACAUGCGUUUAUAAUUUUCAUAGAAAUAAAACAGCAAAAGAUAAUUCAAAGUCAAUAGGAUCUCAGGCUGGACGAGGAAACGUGAGCAGGCACCCGUGAAAAGGAUUCUUUCCUUCUGACAUGAUGAAGCAUUUUUCAAAAUCUUUUGCUUUAUUUCACUGUUUUUUGUCAAACUUGGCAUUUGUUUACCAGCAACAAUAAUGAAACUCUGACCAGGGAACAAGCCUGUUUAAGGACAAAAGCAUACGCCGGAUACUGCACUAGUGCGCCCCACCCCAAAACAGCAAACCAAAAAAGCCCAGCAUGCUGGCACCAUUUUUUUCUAUCUUCUUUCCUUUCCUUUUCAAUGUAAAGAACAUACUUAAGUGUGCCUGCGUCUGUGAGUCAUGCACAUCGUGCUUUGAUGGUGCCAGCUCCACACGCGUGCAAUCACAUGUCUGGUUCUUAACCUGUGUAAGCAGCGCUUUGCCGCCUUUAACGUGCUUUGGAAGUCUCCACAUUCAUGUUUCAUGUUGCGGCGCCUGCGUAUGUAUCUCAAAAAGAAAUCUAACGACCCCGAAAGCAUUCUUAAAGGGUUAAUUAUUACUUUUCAAUUAAAAGGACCGCAUAAAACAACUAGAAGUCUACGACAGGCGUGUGUUCAAUCAUAUAAGAAUAUAUUGUACAUAAUAUUAAUAAACACAUGCUAGUAUGAAAAAUUUCCCCUUAGGAAUGAGGAAUUACCAUUCCAAAGAAGUAACAACAAAAAUCUGAAAAUAUGUAUUAAGGAUGACGGGCCAGUAUCUCUGAUUAUAUACGCAUCUAUCAAAUGCCAAAGCCAGAUUCUUGACUUUAAAUGAGGAAUGAGAAAAGGCACCAAACUAAAUUUUUUAAAAAUAAAAAUUACCAUUCA